UUAAAGUCAACUGUAUUGUUCAAAUACUCCGAAUGGAAUAUUCAAAUAUAUCAUGUGCGUCAUUGUAAGAAUACCUGCUCAGGUGAGACAUUAGAACACAGCUGCUUUACAGCAAACUGCACCCCAGGGUGAGGCAUUAUUUUCAGGAGAAGAAAUUAAAACGUUGAGAGUGAGAAAAUUAACAGAGCAAUGCCAAGUGUCUAAAAUCAAUGUAUUUAUGGUUGAAGUGCUAGAACGUAAUAUUCAAAGAAGGAGAAUUUGCUUGAACUAAUAUUCAUUGGCAUUUACAACAGAGGAUCUGGUUCACUUGUCCUCUGUUCACUUAAUUCUGGCCUGAGACGGUACAAAACUACUGAUUGUUGUGAGCAGUCAAACUGGACUGCUUAUCCAGGAGUGAAACACCAGGCUUCUUGUUUGAGAAGCCCUCAACUUGUCUCAGCAGAUUGUCCUGUAUACUUCUGAGAUUGAGUUUGACGAGAUCCGAACAUGAGCACAAGCGAUGACCAAGGAACAGCAAACCUGGUCCUUCCCAACAAAGGAGAAGCGCUGGUCUUGGCAUCUUCCGAAUGUGUUGGCAUCCUGAACAGCGCAUGUCAAGUUGCUCCAUCUGCUGAUCUACCCCAGGCCACCAGACUAAGCUUUGAGCCAGUGCACUGAUUUUAAUCAUGCCUAAAUGACUUGGCAUCAAUCAGAAGCAGACUGCAAGGCUGACUAGCAGAGAGUUGUAUUUACAUUGGCAGUCAUGGACUUAGGCCUACUGAAUCUGUGGUCACUGGGAGUGCCUGCCCACAUAUCCCUCAUUCCUGCCCAGGCCCUAAUGACCGAGCCAUCUCGUUCAGAACAACAUCUGACAGGCAUCCAUUGUCUCAGACUGUGGCCAAGUAUCUGAGAAGUAGGAAUCUUCCCAUGGCCCAAGAGGACAGCAGCCAGACCAUGGGAAAGAUUAGCAUACGUGCCAACUCCGCAGAGGGCAAGUUCAUUACCUGCGCUAUUCCAGAUUUAUGGGGAGAAACUGGGAGUUGAAAGCUAUAGAGUGAGCACAGAGAUGCUUCGGGAAUUACUCAGCCUGAUUAUGGGUACCUCUGAAGUGUCAAGGGUAAUGGGGAGGCCAUCUAAUUGCAGCAUUGCACGCGGUUUCAUAUGGGGAAAAGUGCCCAUGCUUUCCAAAGUGAGAACAGUGGCCAGCUUCAACUCAACACACAUAGACUCAUCCAUGUGCAAAAUCUGAUGACAUGUCUUAACCUCUAUUGCAAUUCAGGCCUCUUAAAGAAGUGUGUGAAAAUCACUACUGUGAGCAAAAUAUGUCAGAAUAGCUUGGUGUAUCUGAAUGGCCUUGUGCAGAGGUCACAACUGCGUAAUUUGGUGGUGAAUUCUCCACCACUGGAUAUUCUCUAAUUACCAGAAAUGACAAGUCAAUUGGGCUCCAGGCCAAGCACCCAAAUCACCAAAGUGAGGAAGGCUACAGGUCUAGUGCUGGAAAAAGGGAUUUGUAUAGAAGAAUUGUUAGUGAGACACGUUGGGCUGAAUGACCUGUGUCAGUGUGUAUGACUCUAUCUCAGUGAUUCCAUGACAAUGUAUCACUGCAAACAUCAUAGCAUUUAAGUAUAGCUUAAUGAGGUCAGGAUUUUACCAAGUUUCCUAAGGAUAAUUAUCAGUAAAAGUGUGUUCUUCAUUUUUUAAUGGGUAUCUUUUCAAAACACCAGGCUCCAUCAAUAUAUGUUUUGAGUAAUUAAAGGCUCUCUAUUUCAAACCAAUUGCAUUUUCAAACAGGAAAGGAAGUCCUUCUAUCAAUUUACAGAGAUAAGAUAAUGUCAUUGGAAAUGAAGUAGGUACUAUAGAAACCAUCUCAGCGUAAUUAUUAUGGAUCAGUUUCUUUCUGUUUUAAUUUUUGCUUUAAUGCUUUAAUGUUUAAAGACCUAAAGCAAUAGAAUUAGUACUUGUCUCCUUCUUUGCAUACGGAAAAGCAGUCCAAAUAUACAAUUUAUUAGGUGGGUGCUCGUUUCAACUAAAGCUAAUAUCCGUAGCUUGCAUCCUCUAUCCAAGAAUAAUUUUUACUGUUGAUUCUGUGAUUUCCCCAAGUUAUUGUGGCUUUCCACCUUAUUGUUUGAAACAUUCAGCAACAAGAGGUAGCCACAAAAUCUGCAAGUGUGGGUGCUGUUUAAGGCACUGGACCAGUAUUUGAAAACUCCCUCUUAUUUAAUUCCUGCCUCUUCUCUUCCCAGUGUUAACACUGUCAGAGCAUUAUCCUGUCUUGCUGUGAGUGCAUAUCCACUGGAUAAACCUGUUAAAGAAUUUGCAAUGCACACCAAGAAGAACACUUAAUCUUAGUAUGCAGUUCAGUCAUCAGAAACGGAAUAAAUGAAAAUAUCAAGUUGUUACUUGUACUUUGUUGUCAGCAUCUUAUACCACUGUCAAUUGAAUUUGACCUCUUCCUGUUGUUUAACACAGAUAUCUAUCCAAACAAGUGGUGAGACACAGCUGAUCUUUAACAUAGCUUCACUGGCACUAUUAUCCUACGUUGCAGUCUCUUUGAAAGUAACCCCACAUCUGAAAGAAAUUCUUAUUAAACAAUUCUUCAUCAGCUGCUUCCUUAAAAUACUGGAAAUCUGAAAAUAUAUUGCCACCUUACACUGAAGAUUCAGAUGCAAGUAAAUGCAACAUCUACAUUCUGCUCAGUAAAUGAUGGUAACGUUAUUUUUUACAUUUACAAAUGCACUGAAAAUUUUUAAUUCAUCACAAAAAUUGUUCAGAGGUUUAUUAUUUGUAUAUUGAUGGCAGAUUGGAAUGGUUGUGAAGUUAAGGUACUGUAAUAUGGUGGCAAAUCUUUACCAGAGUCACUCAUAAGAAUAUAUUGCUCUAACAUGGUAUAUACAAAGCUAGAAUUACAUAAUGAUGGAGGAGUGAUUUCAGUGUGGAAAUUAUACCACUAUUCCUAUCAAAUGUGCAAUAGAGUGAUGUUGGUCGAAGAACAUGUCACAAUAAAUGUUAGUGACAUUAAGAUGCUAAGUAAGUGUGUAAGUGAAAGAUGACAUAAGGAAAUGAUGAUUACAUUCUACAUUGAAGUUGUGGGCAGCCUGACCAAAUUAGACAUUAUGCUUUCAAAAUAAUAGCCUCAAGCUUUUGCAAAUAAAGUUGAGAAAACGAUCAAAAUAUGUUGACUGUUCACACUUUGACUAUUAAAGUCAAGGUAACAAAAGUGAAACUGUAAAAACCUCUACCUACCCCGAGUCAAAAGAAUUAAUUAGACACUUCAUUACUGCAACUGCUGUUGCCAGAAAGAUGAAACAAUGGAAUUCACAGAAAGAGUCUUGUCUACCUACGGGCUCGUCCAAGGAUGGUUCAUGUCUCUUGCCUUCUCUGUUCAUUGUAGAACUUAAGUGUUUCAUUUCAUUUGUAACAGGGGUAACACAAAAUCAUGGGAAUAGUAGUGGCCUGAAAAGAUCAAGCCAAUUAUAAAAAUUGAAGAGGUACAGUUAGCUUAAGGCAUAUUCGAGCAGAGUGCCAUUAAAUAAUGCUCCUGAAAAGAGAGUGCCAGAAACAUGCUCUUCCCAAUAAAGUUCCACCUUGGAACAUCACAAUCUAAUUUUCUGGACGUCAGAUUCAGAAGUCAUUCAGGACCUGAGGGGACUGAGUUAACCUUUGGAGACUACAAAACUCACUUUAGAGGUAAGUGAUAUUUCAGAGGUGUAGUACAGAAAGAAAAUUACCAAUGCAAAUUUCUAGCCUAAGGAUUUGCAAAGGGAUAUAGACUAGUUAAGACAGCGUGUAAGAAGUUGCCAGGUAAUAUAUAAUCUGAUAAAAUGUGAAGUAAUGUAACAAAUAAUCUGCAGGAAGGACUCCGUGCGAAGAUAGGAAUUGUUGACAUUUCAGCUCAAAACCCUGCAGCAGAACUCGUCAGAGUUUCAGUAUAUUUUGCCUCUCUUCUGUUUUCUUCGUAAUGUAAAGCACAUUGGUAGCAGGAACAGAAAAACAAAAUAUUCUUUAAAACGAUACGCAAAUAACUGGAACACACACAAAAUGGUGGAGGAACUCAGCGGGUUAGGCAGCAACAACGGAGGGGAAUAAAGAGUCAAUGUUUCAGGCCGAGACUCUUCAUUAGUUCUGGAAAGGAAGUGGGAAGAAGCCAGAAUAAGAAGUUGGAGUGAAGGGAAGGAGUACAAGCUGGAAGGUGAAGCCAGGUGAGGGGGAAGGAAGGUGGGUGCAGGAGGGGAGAUGAAAUGAGAAGCUAGGAAGUGAUAGGUGGAAAGGGUAAAGGGCUGAAGGAGAUAGGAGACUAGAGUUGACCAUGUGAGAAAGGGAAGGAGGAUGAGCACCAGAGAGAGGUGGCCAUUGGGAAAUUGUCCCUGUUGCAGAUAGAAUGAAGGUGCUCGUUUAAGUGGUUCCCCCAAUCUACAUCAGGUCCAUUCGAUGUAGAAAAGGCUGCACGGGGUUCACCAGGUACAGUAGAUGGCCCCAGAAAACCUACAGGUGAAGUACUGUCUCACCUGGAAGAUCUAUCUGGAGCCAGGAAUGGUGGUGACGGAGGAAGUGAAUGGGCAGGUUUUGCAUUUGUUCUACUUAUGCUGAAUGCGGAAGCUUAUGGGGUAAAACUCUACCCCUGCUAAGAUAAUGGGAAAAUGGAGUGAGGGUGGAUGUCCGGGAAUUUGAGGAGCUGCAGGUGAGGGCAGCAUCAAUGUUGAAAGAUGAAAAGCUCCGUUCUUUGAAGAAGAUGGAGAGGAAAUCCUCAUCUUGGGAAUAGAUGCAGUGGAGAUGGAGGAACUGAGAAAAGGGAGUGACAUUUUCACAGGUGAAGGAGUGGAAAGAAGUAUAGUCAAGAUAGCUGUGAAAAUCAGUAGGUUGAUAAAAGAUACCAAUAUUCAAUCUGUCACCAGAGGUGGAAUUAGAGAAAUCGAGAAAAGGGAGAGAGGGGUCAAAAAAUUUAAGGGCAGGGUUGAAGCUGGGGCAAAGUUGAUGAAAUUGCCAAGCUCAGCAAGGGUGCAUGAAGCAGCACCAAUGCAGUCAUCAAUGUAGUGCAGAAAGAGUUGGUUGGUUGGUGCUCAUGCUGUGUGAAUUCCAAGCUGCAAGAGUUAAACAUGAAGGUACAUGAAUCAAUUGGCAACAGGACACUGCCACUAUUAUGCCGUGUUGCUGAUCAGAAAUAUCUGUUUGAAAGCACCUCCAUCACAGAAAGAAAUAAUUAUGAAACAACUCCUCAUCACCCACUUCUUUAAAGUGCUGGAUAUCUGAAAAUAUAUUACUUACACUGAAGAUUCACAUGUAAGUAAACUGUUGGCCUUUAAUGCAAAGAUAGGGAGGUGUGGAUGGAGUACAAAGAUUUGGAAGCCUUGAUAAAGUGUUACAAGAUUAUUGUGGUAUCUAUUUGGAUUAACUAGUGCAAUUUUAAUUUCUCUAACCAAAAUAACAUUAUCUUUCCUUGUAGUCCACAUAAUCUAGGGUAGAUUCCUAGCAUGAGAGUGUAUUUCUUAUAAGGGUAGAUUUAUUAAGAUCAAAACAAACCAGAUUUUAGAAGAAUUGGAUACAGUAUAAUUAAGACAGACUGACAGGUUGAAUCCUGAAAGGUUGCUUCCUCUAGUCUGGCUGGUAAGACUAUAACUAGAUGCCUAGUUAAGGAUUCAGCCAAGUAGGAGGAAAUGAUGAGUAAUUUAUUUUUUUCCCCCAUUUUGAUUCACCGUUUCCAUUUCUACCCAUGUAGCGUGACAUACUGAGCAUUUCCAGCAUUUUCGGUUUUACCUUCAGGUUUUCAGCUUCAGAAAUUUUUGGAUUUCAGACUGAAAUCAAGGACAAUAUACUACUCAUUUAGUUUAUAAAGUCUUGUAAAGAGAGCAGAGAAGCAUUAAAAUCAAGACUUAUUUUGUAGCUGGAUAUGUUGAUGAUAAAAGCCACAGGGAAUACAGGUAGCCCUCAGUUAUGGUUGUUUGGAUAAUGGAAAUUCGGCUCUAUCAAAUUCACAAUUACCUCCAAACAUCUGGGAUAUGGAUACAAAUCCACUCUUGUGAAAUUGAUAUGAAAAAAGUAAAUAAAUAAACACAAGAAGUAUUACUUUCAGCUUACAUUUCUUGGUGAUGUACAGGGGACAUGGCUUCAUAUUACAGAACUCAGGAUACCAAUAAUUUUGUAGGAGCAACAAAGCCCCAGACACGUUGUUUGACUACAUCUUGUCUCUGUUUCAUGACAUGAUGACUCAUUUCAAGAUCUGCAUCAGUUCUUCAGAAAAAUGCAUUAGUUUGUGGCUACUUUGAUCAUUCAUUGCUAUCUAAUGAUCUCUUUAUAGGUAUGGUUAGAGAGAUGUGGACUGUUGACAUUUGUAUAAUUCUAACUCAAAGUUCCAUGCAAAACCUAUUUUCAGAAAUAAAUCAAUUGUUUUAUUUUAAAGAAAAAGUCUAAAUCAGUAGACAAAAUAUUCAUGUAGCAUAAUUAUUCACAUGAUCUAUCACAGAGUAUGUAAUUGACAACAAUUCUGGAUCAGUUUCCUGCAUUGCAGAAUAGUAUGGGACGUAAGAGUUCUGUUUCAUCGGGAUGCUGACAUCAGGAUAAUAAAAGGGGAAAAAAAUGGUCAUUUGGGAUGGGGUCAUUUUCUGGUUUGCUGCCAGUGACUAGUGUUGUUCCACAGGGGUCUGUGUUGGGACUGAUUCUUUUUACAUUUUAUGUCAAUGAUUUGGAUGAUGGAAUUGAUAGCUUUGUUGCGAAGUUUGCAGACAAUAUGAAGAUUGGUGGAGAGGCAGAUAUUUCUUGAGGAAGUAGAGAGGCCUCAAAACCAGAAGGACUUAAAGAGAUUGGGAGAAUGAGCAAAGAAAUGGAAUACAGUGUGGUUAUGCACUUUGGUAGAAGAAAUGAAAGGGUUGGCUGUUUUCUAAAUGGAGAGAAAAUACAAAAAUCUGAGGUGCAAAGGGACUUGACAGUCCUUGUGCAGGAUUCCCUAAAGGUUAAUUUGCAGGUUGGGUCUGUGUUGAGGAAGGCAAAUGCGAUGUUAGCAUUCAUUUUGAGAGGACUCGAAUAUAAAAGUAAGGAUGCAAUGUUGAAACUUUAUAAAGCACUGGUGAGGCCUCAUCUGGAGUAUUGUCAGCAGCUUUGGACCCCUCAUCUUAGAAAGGAUGUGCUGAAACUGGACAGGGUUCAAAGGAGGUUCAUGAAAAUGAUUCCAGGAUUGAAUGGCUUAUCAGGUGGAGAGCAUUUGAUGGCUCUGGGCCUGUAUUCACUAGAAUUCAGAAGAAUGAGGGGUGAUCUCAUUGAAACCUAUUGAAUGGUGAAAGGCCUUGAUAGAGUGGAUGUGGAGAGGAUGUUUCCUAUGGUAGGAGAGUCUAAGACCAGAGGACACAACUACAGAAUAGAGGGGUAUACUUUUAGAAUGGAGAUGAGGAGGAAUUUCUUUAGCUAGAGAGUGGUGAAUCUGUGGAAUUCUUUUCACAGGCAACUGUGGAGGUCAAGUCUCUAUGUAUAUUUAAGGCAGAGGUGGAUAGAUUCUUGAUUGGUCAGGGCAUCAAGGGAUACAGGGAGAAGGCAGGAAGUUGGGGCUGAGAGGAAGAUUGGAUCAGCCAUGAUGAAAUGGUGGAGCAUACUUGAUAGGCCAAAUGGCCUAAUUCUGCUUCUAUAUCUGAUGGUCUUAUGGGUCUACCCAGAGUUGUAGGAUGGGACGAGAGUGUUGCAGUUGUGCUAGAAGGGUGAGUUUUGAUUGAUAAGGUGGUGUAGAUAAUAAUCCUUAAGCAUAUGAAAAGAAAGGAAAUAGAAGAAUAUAAAUUGUACAUUAGUCACUACAAAUGAUGAGGAAAACAAAAGGUAAUAAAAAAACUAAAUGUGAGAGGAUAAGAUGUGAAGUAAGGGGCAUAGAAGAUAGGUUGUGAGACUCCUUUAUUCAUUCAAAUACCUGGAGUAUAAAGAACAACUACAAGGCACAUAUUAUUAAACAUAAAGAUUACAAAAUGAUAACCAUAAAUAACGUAUGGCUAGAAAAAGGUUCAGAUUUAGCACUGAAUAUGCUAUGUCAUAGGAAGGUUAGACAAUCUCUUAGAGGAAGACAGUGAUUAUGGGUGAAAUUAUUUUCUGUAUAUGAUAAGGAUGUUACAUAAUAAGAGCUAAGCAGAUAAUGGUGAAUUUUUGGGUGGAAUUAAGAAACAGAAAAAGAUUUAAUUAUGAAUAGUGUAUUUGCUCCAUAAUAUUAGCAGUCCUACAGGGGUCUGCUUUCAAGAUUAAACUAUCAGAUAUGCUUAUUAAAUACUUAGUUACAGGAAUUGAAAGCCAAAUAUCCCAGUUUGCUGAUAGUUUGAAGUUGAAUGAAAUUGUAAGCAAAGUUUUCAGAAACAAGAAGUUACAAAGAGAUAUCGAUGCAUUAAAUUAAGGGGGGGGGGAAUAUGGCCAAUAGAUUAAAUUAUUUUAAAAUAUCAUUGGAAUGCUAAUCUUUAGUUAUAAAGAAUUAAGGUCCAUAUGUUAAAACAUAUUACAGCAGUGAAAACCCCUAGUUAUAUGCCCCUUGGAGUAAUGUGUUCAGGUUAGGUCACAGCUUAGAAAUUAUGCUGUUUAUUGCCCCUAUCAUCAUGUAACACACAGCUACUGGAAUGAGUCCAAGAAGCAAAUUAUUAGAAGUAUUACUCAAAAUUUUAUCUAAAAAAAAGGUAUGAUUGCAAAAAAAAUAAUAAUAUAAUAGGAAACUGAUAAAAUCAGUGGAGAAAGGAUUAAAGCUGAAAAAUCGGAGCCAGGCGUUUCAAAAACAGAAUCAGAAUCAGGUUUAUUAUCACACCCUUAUAUGACCUGAAGUUUUAUUGUAUAUAUUGUAUUGUAUGUAUUUACCAUACAUUGCAUGGUAUGAAACUACCAUAAAUCACUAAAUAAAUAAAUAUAGUGCAAAAACAAAAUGAAUAAUAAAGUAGUGUUCAUGGAUCAUCCUGAAAUUUUCAUAGAGGGGUGAAGCUGUUUCUGUGUGUCUUUAGGUUACUGUAUCUUCUCCCUGACGGUAAAAAUGAGAAGAAGGCAUUUUGCAGAAGUCUUUGGUAACAUACCAAAGCUAUUCAGAUUCAUUUAUUCCUAUUCAAACUCCUAACAAAGUCUAGCUGUUGACAUGGCUUCUCCAGGUUUGCAUCAAUGUUCUGGGCCCAGGACAGAUCCUUGGAGGUGUUAAAACUCAACAACUUAAAGCUGCUUACCCUUUCCAGUGCAAUGAUGGCUGGUGCCAUGUUUUCCUGUCUCCCCCUUCCUGGGUCUUGCUAAUGUGGAGAGUGAAAUUGUUGUUUCAACACCUCUCAGCUAGCCAACCCUUGUACACCAUCUCGUUGCCAUCUAAUGUUUUUCCAACAAUAGCAUGGCAUCAUCUGCAGAUUUAUGAAUGGUGUUUGGGCGGUGCUCAGUCACAAGUGUAGAGAAUAGAGCAGCGGACUAAGCACACACCGUUGAUGUGCGCCAGGGUGGAUUCUUGAUGAGGCGGAGAUGUUAUCAUUGAUCCGUACUGACAUUGGUUUCCUAAUGAGGAAAUUGAGGAAUCAAGUACAGCGUCCCAGGUUUAAAAGCUUGGUGAUUAACAUUGAGGGAUGAUGGUAUUGAACACUGUGCUGCAGUUGAUAAACAACUGUUUAUGCAGAAUGAAGCAUCAUUGAGAUGGAAUCUGCUACAGACUUGUUGCAGUUGUUAUGUAAUUGCAGCGGAUCCAGGUCCUUCCUCAGGCUGGAGUUAAUUCCAGCUAUAAGCAACUUCUUGAAGCACUUCAUUACGGUAGAGUUGAGUUCUACCGGUUAAUAGCUGUUGAGGCUGCUGACUUGCUCUUCUUGGACACUAGUGUGAUUGUUACCCGUCUGAUGUAGGUAGAAACCUCAGAUCACAGCAGUGAGAGGUUAGCAUCCUGGUUAACAGCAGUAAAGAUGUCCUUUGAAAAAUUCAGCCAGUUGGUCUGCACAUGCAUGCAAAGACGUUCAAAGAAUAGUAAAUAUUUAAACUUUCUUAUGCAAACAAUUUGAUGCUAGGGCAAUCGCUAGUUUUAAGUCAGAGAUAGAGUCAAAGAGACAUAGAAAAGUACAGCACUUAAACGGGCCCUUUGGCCUACCUACUCUGUGCCAAAGCAUUUAAGCUGCCUACUCCUAUCAACCUGCACCAGGACCAUUGCCCUCCACAAGCUGACUAUCUAGGUACCUAUCCAAACUUCUCUUAAACAUUGAAAUCAAACUCGUAUGCACUGCUUGUGCUAGCAGCUUGCUCCACACUCUCACAAUCCUCUGAGUGAAGAAGUUUCCCCUCAUGUUCCCCUUAACCUUUUCACCUUUAACCUAUGACCUCUAGCUGUAGUUCCACCUAACCUUAGUGGAAAAAGUCUGCUUGCAUUUACCCUAUCUAUACCCCUUAUAAUUUUGUAUACCUCUAUCAAAUCUCUCUUCAAAUCUCCUCUACCUUGUAUGUUCCAAGGAAUAAAGUCCUAAUCUUUACUUAUAACUCAGUUCCUCAAAUCCUGGCAACAUCCCUAUAAAUUUUCUUUGUACUCUGUCAAUCUCUCCUGUAGGUACGUGACCAAAAUUGCACACAAUACUCCAAAUUAGGUUUCACCAAUGUCUUAUACAACUUCAACGCAGCAUCUCAUCUCCUGUACUCAAUACAUUGAUUUAUGAUCAAAGCGCCAAAAGCUCUCUUUAUGAUCCUUGCUACCUGCGAUGCCACCUUCACCGAAUUAUGGAUCUAUAUUCCCAGAUCCUUUUGUUCUACCGCACUCAUCAAUGCCCUUCCCUUCACCAUGUAAGAUUUGUCCUAACGAAGUGCAACACCUUGCACUUGUCUGCAUUAAACUCCAUCUGCCAUUUUUCACCCAUUUUUCCAGCUGGUCCAGAUCCCUCUGCAAGCUCAGAUAAUCAUCCUUGCUAUCCACUGCACCCCCAAUCUUGGUGUCAUCCACAAAGAUGAACUGACUUAUGUAAACUAAAGGUAGUAAGCAAAUAACAUGUUAGGUCACAGAGCAGUCCUGGAUUUUGUAUAUUUUUUACAAUAUAGAAGAUAACCAUUCAGCCCAUCAAGUCUAAUCUGCUUUUCAAAGCAUCAGUCUCUUUGCCCCACUUAAAGCAGCAAUGAUCUUUUUAAGUGCAAGCAACAAAUUUGUUUAUUCUUGCUUAAUUAUGUUCCUACAAGCUGGAGUUUUAUAAAUAGCUUGAGUUAAAACUGCUGUGUAAUUUAUUUUGAGAGGAUGAUGGCAUUUUGAGAAUUAUAAAAGACCAUAUGACAUUGUGAAGAAGCAAAAUUGGUAUCAUACUUUAGAAAUGUAUUUGUUCCUUUCUGGUUCCCUUGCAUAUUUUAAUUUUGCUGGCAGUUGUGCACCUGUGUCCUGUAAUUCUCCACCAGUAAGAGGAGUGAGAUUGUUAGGUUCUACCUUGACUUCGUCCAACAGCAAAUCAAAAAUGGAAUGCAAGAAAUGGAUGGUAUAUUUCCUCUCUGUAUUAAGCGCUAUCGAGGCUGAUAUGCUAAUUUUCUGUGAUUCAUUCCUUUGCGAGAAUUUUGUUGCUGUUGAUUCAGAGCUACCAGGGGUCUUGCUGGUGCCGAUCACUGCACUCUGUUUUAUCCCUUGUGUAGUGUCGCUGACAAUUAUGUUAUGUGGAUAAUGCAUGGUGUUCAUUUUUUGAGUGCUGUUUGAUCUGGUUUCUGCUUUAUCCAGAGAUGAGUUCCUGCUGAAAUCAUGCCAGAUGUGUACCUGGAUCGGACACUUCCAUAUGCUAUUCACAUUAGUGCUCCUGGGGUUUUUCCAGUGUCAGGUGCAUACCAAAUGAUGUCAUUAUUCAAUUAACAACAAAAAAAAAUAAGAGAAGAAGUAGCCAUCCAACCCUUGGAGGCUGCUCUAUUGUCAUUAAGAUCACAGUUGAUCAUCUGCCUUCGUGCCAUUUUCCAGAUAUCCCCUUAUCUCUCAACUCCUCUGAUGUCCUAAACCCUUCAGGUUUCUCUUUUGAAUCCAUACAAUGACCAAGCCUUCUGAGAUAGACAAUUCAAAAGGUUCACCACCAUCUGAGUGAAUCUCAUCACAGUCCUUAAUAGCCUGACCCCAGGCUCUGGACUUUGUUCCUGUUGCUCUCCAUGUCUUUAGAGGGGAAACAUAGCCUGCCAUCAUAGCCUGUAUCUAGCCUGCCAAGCUCUUUCAUCUGUUUAAAUGAGACCUCGUUUUAUCUUUUACACUUAGUCACAAUCUAUGCAAUCUGUCCUCUUAUGCAAGGCAAAUACGUCAAACAAACAAAUUUUCUCUGCACUCUCUUUAUGGCAUCUUUCUUGGAUAAGGAGACCAAAAUUGUACACGAUACUCUUGACAUGGUCUCAUGCAGGUCUAUAUUGUUACAUUAAGAUAUCCUUUUUCUUGUAUUCAAAUCCUCUCAUAAUAAUUUCAACAUCUUGUGUACUUUGAACAUCAGCACUACCAGAUCUACACUGUGUAAUACAUAGUUCACUUUUCUUUUAUGUGUACCGGUGUAGAUAAUUUCCUCGUUUUCCACAUUAUAUUCAAUCUGUCAUGUUCUCCACCAUUCAGGCAUCUUGCCCAUGAGCUCUUUACGUGACUCUACGUACUCAUUAUUCUACCCAGAUUAGCAUCUUAAGUAAAUUCCGAAAUAUGACAUUUGGUUCCCUCAACCAAAGGUGCUUGACUCACUGAGUUUCUGAAGCAGACUGUUUGUUAUUCCAGAUUCUCCAUUAUAGGAAGGAUGUGGAAGCUAUGGAGAGGGUGCAGAGGAGAUUUACCAGGAUGAUGCCUGGUUUUGGAGAACAAGUCAUAUGAAGCAAGGUUAGCAGAGCUGGGAUUUUUCUCUUUGGAGCGUAGAAGAAUGAGAGGGGACUUGAUAGAGGUCUACAAGGUUGUGAGAGGCAUAGAUAGGGUGGAUAGUCAGUACCUGUUUCCCAGGACACCAAUAGCAAACACCAGAGGGCAUAUGUACAAAAUUAAGGGAGGGAAGUUUAGGGGAGACAUCAGGGGUAAGUUUUUUACACAGUGGAUUGUGGGUGCCUGGAAUGACUUGCCAGGGAUGGUGGUGGAGGCUAAAACAUUAGGGGUAUUUAAGUACCUCUUGGACAGGCACAUGGAUGAAAGAAAAAUAGAGGGUUAUGGGGUAGUGUGGGUUUAGUACUUUUUUUAAGGAUUAUAUGGGUCGGCACAACAUGGAGGGCUGAAGAGCCUGUACUGCGCUGUAGUGUUCAAUGGUUCUAUUCCAGUGUCUGCAAUCCCUUCUGUCUCCAUACUACUCCAUGACAAAAUCUCUUUGUGGCAAGCAAACUUUGAAGAAGUUUUCCUCCUUUCUUCGGCAGGAAUUAUGUAAGAGCCUCUCUCAGCACUCUGCCUCUGUGGUUUCUACCAUUCUGCUGCUGUGUUCCUCACUGACACCAUUCUUCUGAAGACUGACUAUUACAGCCUUAUAUUCUUUCUCAGACGAUGCGGAUUUUCAAUCUGAAAUGUCGAAAUUCCUCUCACCCUCCCACAGCUACUAGCCAACCCACUGAGUACCUACAGCAGAUUGUUUGUUGCUCCAGAUUUUAACAACUGCAUGACAACAUAAGAAAUAGGAGCCGGAGUAGGCCAUCUGGCCCGUCGAGCCUGCUCUGCCAUUCAAUAAGAUUGUGGCUGAUCUCGCCUGCAGUGUCUUUUGUGCUCCAUAGAUUGUGGCUACCUGAUAUCCAACUACGUCUACUGCUUCCCCGAUAUCUAUUCUACUAAUCACAUCCAAAUCCAAAUGUUGGUUCCAUUAAUACAUCUUUCAUUAUUGCUUCCAGCAUUUUCCCUUCCACAGAUGUCGGGUUGUUUUUUCUCUGUUUACUCUCUUCCAUCUUUCUUAAUUAGUGCAAUCACAUUUCCUACCCUCCAGUCAGUAAAACUUUGCAAGACAAUGACACCAUCUCCAAAAGCAAGUCUUUCAAAAUUCUGGAAAGAAAGUCAUCAGAUCCUUGGAAUUAUUCAGCUUUCUACCUCAUUAACUUCAGUGAGACGAUUUUUUGAUUCAUUCUUUCUUUUUUUUUCCGUGCCUCAUUCUCACUAGUAUUUGAUCUUCUGAUAGAUCUGGCAGGCUUUGUAUGACAUCUUCCCUUUCCUCCCACACUAACAAGAAUUGGAGCAGAAGGCUCCACAUAUAAUUGCCGAGAAUCAGUCUCAGUAGAACUAGGAGCACAUUGUAGUUUUUGUAGUUUUUUGGAAGGACUCUCUGGCUGGGGGUCGGGCUGCUGACUACUCAAACAUGUUCCACAUUCCACACAGUGUUCUGCAAUGAAUAGGAAGUGUAUGUUUUUCGCACUUCCUUGUGAAGCUUCUUUUUCAGUGGCUGUCUUAGUGAUGAUAAGUUUUCAGUGCUUACUUAAUGGAGAUGUAGCGUUGCCCAUGCAUAGCCACUCAGGAUGAGCUGGGAACCUUGGCACAGGAGGUCAAAGCCUGUCCAUUGCUAAAGAGCCUACUCCCUUACCCUUACUAUUCUCACCACAUCCUCUCUGGAAUUCUAUCCUCGGGGCACAUUGAUUUCACGGGUGGAUAGGGUCAUAAAGAGACCGCUUAGCGUAUUGGCCUGCUGAGUGCAGGGGUUGUGAAGUUAUGUUGAAGUUAUGUAAGACUUUGGUGAGGCUUAACUUGUAUUAUUGUGUGCAGUUCUGGUCACCUACCUACAGGAAAGUUAUCAAUAACUUUAGAAAAGUACAGAGAAAAUCUUCAAGGAAGUUGCUGGGACUUGUGGACCUGAGUUACAGGGAAAAGUCGAACAGGUUAGGACUUUAUUCCUUAAGAGUGUAGAAUGUGGGGAGACUUGAUGGAAGCAGACUAAAUUAUGAGGAGCAUAGAUAGGAUAAGUGCAAACGGGCAUUCUGAGGUUGGGUGUUUCUUAAUUUGCUGCUCCCUACUACAUCAUAAGAACAAUUAUACUAGACCCAGAUCUCGAAAUUUCCUUAAUAGCUGAAAAUCUAACAAAAACUCUUACACUCGACCCAUAAAUCGAGAUUUCCUUAAUAGCUGAAACAUACUCAUUGACUGAGUUUCUGUGGUAGUCUUGAGCAGGGAGUUCCGACCAUCCUCUCACCUCAGUCCCGAAUGGUUUAUUCUUUAUCGUAAGGUGGUAAACAGUGAUUCUAGGCACCCGUCUAGGGGGAUCAUUAUUGUAACAAGCCCCUUAAGAAUUCUGCAUGUUUCACAUCUUCUAAGAUUAGCCUCCUCUUGUGUGACAAACCACCUUUCAGAGGAUCAAUCUGCAAAAUGUGCAUAUGACCAGACCUGUGAAUAAAAUUCCAGAUGGAAUCUUCCCUGUAUUUUACAAACUUUGUAGACUAUGUUUCUACUCUUGUACUCAAAUUAUCAUGCAAUAAAUCUCUUCCUAAUUGCUUGCUGUACUGCACAUUUAUGUUAAGUGAUCUGUAUAUGAGGACCCCUGAGUCAUUUUGAACUUUCAGUCUUUUCAACUUUCUACAUUUUUUUCUCUACCAAAGUGAAUGACCUCAAAUUUAUACACAUUAUGUACCUUUGGUCAUGUCCUUGUCUGUUCGCUCUGCGUGACAAUAGCCCCCUGAAGCCACUCUGACUUCAUCAUAACCUACAUUGAAACCUGGCUUAAAGAUUGAAGAGCCAGCUCAACUCAUACCUUGCCAUUUUAGGUCACUAUCUGCAUUUAUUAAAUAUGAUAUAUUAACAGCUAAAUACCUAAACCCAAAUUCUGAAAAGCUAGAGAAUUGCACUAAUUUUUGGAUAGCAUAGGAGGCCAGGGAAAUAAAUGACUUGACUGUUUGUUCUCUAAAUACAAGGGAAAACACUU